rnacentral:rRNA from 1 species
CCUGGUCUUGACAUCCACGGAAUUCGGCAGAGAUGCCUUAGUGCCUUCGGGAACCGUGAGACAGGUGCUGCAUGGCCGUGGUCAGCUUGUGUUGUGAAAUGUUGGGUUAAGUCCCGCAACGAGCGCAACCCUUAUCCUUUGUUGCCAGCGGUCCGCCCGGGAACUCAAAGGAGACUGCCAGUGAUAAACUGGAGGAAGGUGGGGAUGACGUCAAGUCAUCAUGGCCCUUACGGCCAGGGCUACACACGUGAUACAAUGGCGCAUACAAAGAGAAGCGACCUCGCGAGAGCAAGCGGACCUCAUAAAGUGCGUCGUAGUCCGGAUUGGAGUCUGCAACUCGACUCCAUGAAGUCGGAAUCGCUAGUAAUCGGGAUCAGAA